rnacentral:rRNA from 1 species
UACGUAGGGGGCAAGCGUUGUCCGGAAUCAUUGGGCGUAAAGAGCGUGUAGGCGGCCCGAUAAGUCCGCUGUGAAAGUCCAGGGCUCAACCCUGGGAUGCCGGUGGAUACUGUCGGGCUCGAGUCCGGAAGAGGAGUGUGGAAUUCCGUGGUGUAGCGGUGAAAUGCGCAGAUAGUCAGGAGGAACACCAAUGGCGAAGGCAGCACUCUGGGACGUGACUGACGCUGAGACGCGAAAGCGUGGGAGCAAACAGG